rnacentral:rRNA from 1 species
AUUGAACGCUGGCGGCAGGCCUAACACAUGCAAGUCGAGCGGAUGAAGGGAGCUUGCUCCUGGAUUCAGCGGCGGACGGGUGAGUAAUGCCUAGGAAUCUGCCUGUUAGUGGGGGAUAACGUCCGGAAACGGGCGCUAAUACCGCAUACGUCCUGAGGGAGAAAGUGGGGGAUCUUCGGACCUCACGCUAUCAGAUGAGCCUAGGUCGGAUUAUCUAGUUGGUGGGGUAAAGGCCUACCAAGGCGACGAUCCGUAACUGGUCUGAGAGGAUGAUCAGUCACACUGGACCUGAGAACCGGUCCAGACUCCUACGGGAGGAAGCAGUGGGGAAUAUUGGACAAUGGGCGAAAGCCUGAUCCAGCCAUGCCGCGUGUGUGAAGAAGGUCUUCGGAUUGUAAAGCACUUUAAGUUGGGAGGACGGGCAGUAAGUUAAUACCUUGCUGUUUUGACGUUACCAACAGAAUAAGCACCGGCUAACUUCGUG